rfam:Gossypium raimondii Chr03_contig_239, whole genome shotgun sequence.
GAUUUCUGCCUAGUGCUCUGAAUGUCAAAGUGAAGAAAUUCAACCAAACGCGGGUAAACGGAAGGAGUAACUAUGACUCUCUUAAGGUAGUCAUCUAAUUAGUGGCGCGCAUGAAUGGAU